rnacentral:misc_RNA from 1 species
UCCCCGUUGCCGGGGCAGUCUGAAUAGAAAAAUCCAACUAUUCAUAAGGGUUGCGCUCGUUAAAGGACUUAACCUAACAUCUCACGACACGAGCUGACGACGGCCAUGCAACAUCUGUCACCGAGUUCAAUAAAGCACACUCUGCUUUCGCAGAACUUCUCGGGAUGUCAAGCCCUGGUAAGGUUUAUCGUUUACCAUCGAAUUAAAGAACAUGCUCCACCGCUUGUGCGGGUCCCCGUCAAUUCCUUUAUGUUUUAGCCUUGCGGCCGUACUCCACAGGCGGGAUGCUUAACGCGUUAGCUUCGCUACGGAAGGGGUCGAUACCCCCCACAGCUAGCAUCCAUCGUUUACGGCGUGGACUAC